rnacentral:rRNA from 1 species
UGUAGCUGGUCUGAGAGGAUGAUCAGCCACACCGGGACUGAGACACGGCCCGGACUCCUACGGGAGGCAGCAGUGGGGAAUAUUGGACAAUGGGGGCAACCCUGACCCAGCCAUGCCGCGUGUGUGAAGAAGGCCUUUUGGUUGUAAAGCACUUUAAGCAGUGAAGAAGACCUAACGGUUAAUACCCGUUAGCGAUGACAUUAGCUGCAGAAUAAGCACCGGCUAACUCUGUGCCAGCAGCCGCGGUAAUACAGAGGGUGCAAGCGUUAAUCGGAAUUACUGGGCGUAAAGCGAGCGUAGGUGGCUUGAUAAGUCAGAUGUGAAAUCCCCGGGCUUAACCUGGGAACUGCAUCUGAUACUGUUGGGCUAGAGUAGGUGAGAGGGAGGUAGAAUUUCAGGUGUAGCGGUGAAAUGCGUAGAGAUCUGAAGGAAUACCGAUGGCGAAGGCAGCCUCCUGGCAUCAUACUGACACUGAGGUUCGAAAGCGUGGGUAGCAAACAGGAUUAGAUACCCUGGUAGUCCACGCCGUAAACGAUGUCUACUAGUCGUUGGGGAACUUGAUUCCUUAGUGACGCAGCUAACGCAAUAAGUAGACCGCCUGGGGAGUACGGCCGCAAGGUUAAAACUCAAAUGAAUUGACGGGGGCCCGCACAAGCGGUGGAGCAUGUGGUUUAAUUCGAUGCAACGCGAAGAACCUUACCUGGUCUUGACAUAUCUAGAAUCCUGCAGAGAUGCGGGAGUGCCUUCGGGAAUUAGAAUACAGGUGCUGCAUGGCUGUCGUCAGCUCGUGUCGUGAGAUGUUGGGUUAAGUCCCGCAACGAGCGCAACCCUUUUCCUUAGUUACCAGCGGUUUGGCCGGGGACUCUAAGGAUACUGCCAGUGACAAACUGGAGGAAGGCGGGGACGACGUCAAGUCAUCAUGGCCCUUACGACCAGGGCUACACACGUGCUACAAUGGUAGGUACAGAGGGCAGCUACACAGCGAUGUGAUGCGAAUCUCAAAAAGCCUAUCGUAGUCCAGAUUGGAGUCUGCAACUCGACUCCAUGAAGUAGGAAUCGCUAGUAAUCGCGGAUCAGAAUGCCGCGGUGAAUACGUUCCCGGGCCUUGUACACACCGCCCGUCACACCAUGGGAGUUGAUUGCACCAGAAGUGGGUAGCCUAACUUUUAGAGGGCGCUCACCACGGUGUGGUUGAUGACUGGGGUGAAGUCGUAACAAGGUAA